AUCGAACGCUGGCGGCAGGCCUAACACAUGCAAGUCGAACGAGUGGCGGACGGGUGAGUAAUGUCUGGGAAACUGCCUGAUGGAGGGGGAUAACUACUGGAAACGGUAGCUAAUACCGCAUACCAUCAGAGGUGCCCAGAUGGGAUUAGCUUGUUGGUGGGGUAACGGCUCACCAAGGCGACGAACCCUAGCUGGUCUGAGAGGAUGACCGGCCACACUGGAACUGAGACGCGGUCCAGACUCCUACGGUGGGAAUCAGUGGGAAAUAUUGCACAAUGGGGGCAAGCCUGAUGCGGCCAUGCCGCGUGUAUGAGGAGGGCCUUCGGGUUGUAAAUUACUUUCAGCGGGGAGGCGUUACCCGCAGAAGAAGCACCGGCUAACUCCGUGCCAGCCGCCGCGGUAAUUC
rnacentral:rRNA from 1 species